ensembl:snoRNA
AUCCUUUCCUGUUUCAUAAGCAUAAUGAUUGGGUGUUCAUCCAUUUGUGUGACAUGUGCCUCCCUUGAAUUUUGUUAGGCACUUGCCACAUUACCUAUCUGAUA